GCCCCCGUGGCGCAAUGGAUAGCGCAGUCGGUUUCUACCCGAUAGGUUGCAGGUUCGAGUCCUGUCGGGGGUA
rnacentral:tRNA from 2 species